rnacentral:rRNA from 1 species
GAUGAACGCUGGCGGCGUGCCUAAUACAUGCAAGUCGAGCGAACGGACGAGAAGCUUGCUUCUCUGAUGUUAGCGGCGGACGGGUGAGUAACACGUGGAUAACCUACCUAUAAGACUGGGAUAACUUCGGGAAACCGGAUCUAAUACCGUAGAAUAUUUUGAACCGCAUGGUUCAAAAGUGAAAGACGGUCUUGCUGUCACUUAUAGAUGGAUCCGCGCUGCAUUAGCUAGUUGGUAAGGUAACGGCUUACCAAGGCAACGAUGCAUGGCCGACCUGAGAGGGGGAAGCGGCCCAACGGAAGUGAGCCACCGCACAGGACCCUACGGGAGGCCGAAAUUGGGAAGUGUCGCAGCAGGGGGGAAGCCUGAACGAGGAACGGAGGCCGGGUGAAGCAGGGCCUCGGGCUGGAAAACUCUGUUAUUAGGGAAGAACAUAUGUGUAAGUAACUGUGCACAUCUGGACGGUACCUAAUCAGAAAGACACGGCAAACUACGU